GUGAUCGGACUCGGAAGCAAGCGCAGGCGGAAAGAUAAUAAAGGCGGCCAGGAACAGGACAAGAGAGAGUGAUGGAGCGGUCGGCAGCAUCUGUAUCGUCGGCGAAGAUACGGAUACAACGGUUCAGAUUACUCGUUCGGCCUGGUUUUAUUCCCCAGAGUAAGAGAGUAGCCCCUGUUGUGGUAGAGCUGCUUCACAACUUUCUUUUUCUUGACAAAAAUAGAAAAGUAAAAUAUUGCACUACAUACACCAGAAAGAAAAUGAAGUCCAUCAUAAU
rnacentral:misc_RNA from 1 species